rnacentral:rRNA from 1 species
UUUUAAAAGAAAUAAUUUUUAGUAAAAUCUGCUCAAUGAAUAAUUAAAUAGCCGCAAACGUGCUAAGGUAGCAUAAUCAUUUGUCUUUUAAUUAAAGACUAGAACAAAAGAUUUAAUAUUUAAAUUUAUUUUUUAAUAUAAUUUUUCUAAAUUUAUUUAAAUGUAAAAAAUCAUUUAUAAAAAAAAAAGACGACAAGACCCUGAUAAACUUAACUAAAGUUAAACUGGGGCAGUUAAUUAAUUAUUAUUUUAAUUUAAAUAAUAAAAAAAAAGACCUAAUUGAAUUAAUUUUAUGAAACAGUUACUAUAGGGAUAACAGCGUAAUAAAAUUUUUUAGAUCUUAUUAAAAAUUAAUGUUUACGACCUCGAUGUUGAUUAAUUAUCCUUCACUAUGCAAUAAUUUUUCAAGGAAGUCUGUUCGACUUUUAAAUAAUUACA